rnacentral:rRNA from 1 species
AGAGUUUGAUCAUGGCUCAGGAUGAACGCUAGCUACAGGCUUAACACAUGCAAGUCGAGGGGAAACGACAUCGAAAGCUUGCUUUUGAUGGGCGUCGACCGGCGCACGGGUGAGUAACGCGUAUCCAACCUGCCCAUCACUUGGGGAUAACCUUGCGAAAGUAAGACUAAUACCCAAUGAUAUCUCUAGAAGACAUCUGAAAAGAGAUUAAAGAUUUAUCGGUGAUGGAUGGGGAUGCGUCUGAUUAGCUUGUUGGCGGGGUAACGCCACCAAGGCUACGAUCAGUAGGGGUUCUGAGAGGAAGGUCCCCCACGAUUGGAACUGAGACACGGUCCAAACUCCUACGGGAGGCA